rnacentral:rRNA from 1 species
AUGUCGGAACAAGCUCACGUAGUGACAACACCAUUAGGGGAAGAAAUGCUGCUUGGAGAUUCAUCGUUGGCAGAAGAAGCUGAUAGAGUGGCAACACAAUCAAGAGAAGGUGUGCUGCCUCAAGAUUCGUCGCAGUCUCAGCAGCAAGAGAUCACUGUUGACCUUGGUCCGCACAUGUCGAUUGAUGAGUUGUUGAAAGCUAUAAAAGGAGCCAAUGGCAUGCCGGUCCUGUUUGUGCCCUCCAUCGACGGGAGGCUGAAAGCAGUAGCCGUGGGCAGUUUUGGGAAUGACGACAACAACGGGUAUGCUGACAAGAACCAGAAGGUUUACCGUUCCUGGUUAUUGCUCCUAACUUCACUGAUUGCCACUGUCACCUUCACUGCGGGGCUCAACCCACCCGGUGGUUUCUGGGCUGCUGACAACACGGCCAACGGGUACGUCGCUGGUACUUCAGUUUUGCGUGACAAGUUUCCCACAAGGUACCAGUUUUUUCAACUCAGUAACAAGAUGGCCUUCUUCUGCUCCAUAAUGAUCAUUGCAAUGCUUGCCACAAAUGUAAAUAACAAGGAGGCAGUCGCAACAUUAAGACAUCGUGUAUGCUUCCCGGUGUAUGUAGUUGUUUGUAUUGCGAGUUUGGGGGCUAGCUUUAUCGUCGGCACGUGGGAGAACUGCAAAAAUGGGAUCGCCACCACAUGUGGGUUUCUGUUUAUCCUCACCUACGUCUCCGUGCACUGGGUUAUGAGUUGGAUCAUUUCAGUCAGACGCCGCAAGCGGACCUUGGAAUCAUUGGUUUAA